AUCUAUCUGGGAGUGCCUUGAGCAAAAUCACUGCUAUAGGUACGUCAACUAGUUAUGUCCCUUAUAAUUAAUACAAUUAUUAAUUCAUACAGAGUAUAAGUCAAAAUCUUAUAAAAUUGGUUAAUAUUGGUUAUCAUUCAGCAAAUAUUUAUUGAGUAUCUACUGUAUGGCAGGCUGGGCUACAGGCGGGGGAUGUAAUAGUGAAAAAGGCAGAAAUGGUCCUUUAAUUGCCGUCUGAUGAUGAUUAUAGGCCUAAGUGACCCGCGCUCAACUGAUGCGACCUAAUUCCUGAGCCUGUUAAACUGCAGGGUAAAUCAUGGGCUGAACAGUCACUCAGUGAAGUCUUAUCUGAAAUAGCCAGGCAGUUUGCCCCUCCAUUAUAACCCUUAGAUCUGAGAAAAACAGAAGGGAAAGAGGGGGGAAGAGAGAGAGGAAAGACAGAAGAAUCAGUGGAGGUACUGAUGCCACGCAAAGCACCACAAAAGUGGCUGAGGCUGAAGGCAGAAUCACAGCACCCAAGCUUUUAAAGUAACAGUUAUUGCCCAUUUCUCUCAAGUUUCCCAAAUGCCAAAGUAACCCUGUGAUACUAUGAUAUAACCAAUAUAUAUUUGGUCUCCAUUCCAGGUUCCUGGCAUAAGAGCUUCUUUUUUUUUUUUUUUUUUUUGAGACAGAGUCUCGCUCCGUUGCUCAGGCUGGAGUGCAGUGGCGUGAUCUUGGCUCACUGCAACAUCCACCUCCCAGGUUCAAGCGAUUCUCCUGCCUCAGCCUCCCGAGUAGCUGGGACUACGGGUGCAUGCUACCAUGCCUGGCUAAUUUUUGUAUUUUUAAUAGAGAUGGGGUUUCACUAUGUUGGCCAGGCUGGACCAGAGUUUCUAAAACCCGUGGAAUCUCCAGAGUGAUAUGCGUGUCUUUUGCAUGCUAAUGAGAUGACCGGGCUUCGGGAAUCUUGGAUAGCUUCAGGAUGGGGACUGGUUGCCAGAAAGACCACGGCAUUAUUAGAGGGUUGAAAGUUUCAGCCCCUUCCACCAGGCCUUGGGGAGGGGAGAGGGGCUAAAGAUUGAGUUAAUCACCAAUGGCCAAUGAAUGAAUCAAUCAUGCAUACAUAAUGGAACCCCCAUAAAGACCCUAACUGAGGGGUUCAGAGAGCUUCCGGUUGGUGAGCAUGUCUAUAUGCCAGGAGGUGGUAUAUACCCCAACUCCAUGGGGACUGAAGCUCCUGGACCCUUCUGGAACUUGCCCUAUGUACAUCGUCACCUUGGAUGGUCACCUGUGCCCUUAUAAUAACCUUUAAAAUCACUAGUAAUAGUGAGUAAAGUGCUUCUCAGAGUUUCAUGAACCAUUACAGCAAAUUAUUGAGCCUGAGGAAGGGGUUGUGGGAGCCCUGAUUUGUAGCCAAGUUGGACAGAAGUGUGGGUAAUCUGAAGAACCACUACUUGUGAUUGGUGUCUGAAGUGUGAGGCACUCCUGUGGGACAGAGCCCUUAACCUGUGGGCUCUGCCCUAACUCCAGGUAGUGUCAGAAUUGAAUUAAAUCGUAGGACACCCAGCUGGUGUCUGCAGAGAACUGAAUUUUUUGGUGUAAGAAACCUACACAUUUGGUGUCAGAGUGUUAUCUGGGUAGAAAGAGAUCCUGGUAGUAGUAAGCAGUAAAUCCCUAAGGGGAAUGAAGCAAGAAGGUGGACACUAUCAAAAGUUCUCUAUAAUGGAUUUACAGAGCCAGUUUUGGGAAGCACAUCUAAUAAACUCUUCAUUUUAAAAGUGUUUUACAAUUCUUUUCUUUUUAAAAUUUUGGCCGGGCGUGAUGGCUCACGCCUGUAAUCCCAACACUUUGGGAGGCCAAUGCGGGCGGAUCAACUGAGGUCAGGAGUCCGAGACCAGUGUGGACAACAUGGCAAAACCCCAUCUCUACUAAAAAUACAAAAAUUAGCCCAGUGUGGGCGCCUGUAAUACUAGCUACUCGGGAGGCUAAGGCAAGAGAAUCACCUGAACCCAGGAGGCGGA
rnacentral:lncRNA from 10 species